AAAUAACCUCUGAAAUUAGUGGCAUAAAAAGUGACUCUGUCAAAGAAAGUAAACAUGGACACAUUCCCCUCACUGGAUGUUUAACUUAACACCCCAAUGUAAGUUAAAGGACCGCUGGCUAUGUAGCUUAAGGCAGCCUAGAUGCAUCAUUAGCUGCACAACUGCUUGAGACGUUGACUUCAUUGCUCAGCUUUGAAACUGUGCGUGUGUGAGGACGCUCAGCUCCACAGCCUGGCCCCUGGGCAUUGUCUGAUGCGGUGGGUUGAUUGGGCUGCUCCACUACAGCCCUUCCUGAGAAGGUGCAGAACACAUUUUACAAGUUUUCCUGUGUUUGUAAAGCAGCAUAUUGGCGCAAGGCAACAGAUCUGCUGUGCUUAGGAGAAGUAUGCGGCCCGCUAGGCAGCGCUUAACUGGGCCCUUGGAACAUGGAGCACCAACUUCGUACUGAGAGGCAGCAAGCCUGGUGUCUGCAGGCCCCGCACCUCCCACAGGUCCAGGGAUGAGCAGGCCCAGAGUGGGAGGGGAGGUAAGGGUGAGGAAGCUUGCAAACUUGGACAUGGUUUACACCACAUCUGCUCUCAUUCCAUUGGUGAAAGCGUGUCAUACGGCCAAGCCCAUUUCAACGGGGCAGGAUGUAUAUUCCUCUUCUUGGAGGCACUGCAGAUCACAUGCAGAGAUGGGUCCUCAGGAGACUAAGGCCCAGGAGAGCCUUGGAGUAUGUGUAUGGAUUUGUCUACAAGACCACACACAGCAUCAGCAGCCCUACUCUGCACAUCUCCAGUCCUGUCCAGUCAGGUCCUCCCCAGUUGACUCAGAACUUUCCAUGCUUUUCAGAGCGCAUUUCCAACCACAUGCUAGGUGCCUCAUCUGUCAUAUCCAAAGCAAAGGAACUGGUCAAGGGGGCAAGUGAAGGAGUCCAUCACACUGGAGAGCAGGCAUGCUGCUCACUCUCCCAGGGGCAGGAGCAGCUCAAGUUGUGAUUGUGCCUACACUUGGUCAUGGAGUAUAUCUUCAGGAAUGUUCAUUGGAAGGAGGAAUGAAGAAGAAAUUGACCCGUCCAUUUUCUCUUGCCUCUCUUUGGCCAAGAUGGCACUAUGAGGAAUUAACUACCUUGCAUUCCAGCUUGCUGCUGCAUUUGUGCAGGAAAUAUUAAGCUUGCUGAUGAGAAAGGAGAAGAAGUAGAGAAAACAACGUACAGUUAGGCCUAUAGGAAUCUGCCGAGGGGAACUGACAAGCCCUGCUCAGUCUUGCCCACUGUCUGCUUGGAGGAUCAGGAUGAGUUUGUUUACUUGAGACUACAUAGGAGUCAAGAACACAUUAAUCCUGUGAUGAAUGGACACCUUGCCUCUUCUUAUCCUUGGCCUCCUUAUGAAACUACCACCAUCUUGUUAAUUUGGGAAGUUUGUUGCUUUAUCAUUUCUUACUAUUGAGAAAUCUAAAUGGCAUAACAUUGUAAUACAAUUGUAAUCUUUACAUUCCCUUAAAUAUAUCUGGAGCAAUUUUCCAUUUUAUUACAUAAUCUUCUACAGUACAAUUUUAAUAAAAC
rnacentral:lncRNA from 1 species